rnacentral:rRNA from 1 species
AACGAACGCUGGCGGCAUGCCUAACACAUGCAAGUCGAACGAGACCUUCGGGUCUAGUUGCGCACGGGUGCGUAACGCGUGGGAACCUGCCCUUAGGUUCGGAAUAACUCCCCGAAAGGGGUGCUAAUACCGGAUAAUGUCUUCGGACCAAAGAUUUAUCGCCUUUGGAUGGGCCCGCGUUGGAUUAGCUAGUUGGUAGGGUAAAAGCCUACCAAGGCGACGAUCCAUAGCUGGUCUGAGAGGAUGAUCAGCCACACUGGGACUGAGACACGGCCCAGACUCCUACGGGAAGCAGCAGUGGGGAAUAUUGGACAAUGGGCGAAAGCCUGAUCCAGCAAUGCCGGGUGAGUGAUGAAGGCCUUAGGGUUGUAAAGCUCUUUUACACGGGAUGAUAAUGACAGUACCGGGAGAAUAAGCUCCGGCUAACUCCGUG